GGAGGAGCUGUGACUCUACAGUAGAGCAUCUGUUUGGCAUACAGAAGGUCCUGGGUUCAGUCCCCAGUUUCUCCA
rnacentral:tRNA from 1 species